GCGGCGCGAGGGGCGGGGCCGCGGCUGAGGGGCCGCGGCGGGCGGGACACGGAGCUUUUAAAUUCCCUUUUUUAUCCCUCGGUCACUCCCGGCUCCGGGAAUGGUGGCACAUCUGUGCUGUCGGGCACACGCUGCUGCACGGGACCAGACCUCCCUGACCCUGACUGGAUCUUUGCCUGGCCCCUGCCUGGCUUUGCUCACUCACAUCUCUGAUCCUGACAAUAACAAGUACAGCAACACCCUCUGGCUACUUACAUGAUCCUCACAACCACGCAAAACUUACUACCGAGCGGCUUAGAAGAAAGUAAGUUUCAGUAUUCGUCCUGCAAAAGGAGAGGAAACUGAGGAGAAAAACUCAGUGGCUUCUUCAAGCCUUUCACAGGAAGAAUAGAUAUAUUUCUGGUGGAAAGCCAGUGAUUAAUUUGGCUGUGAGCCAGGCAAAUUAAGCAGAUGCCCAAAAAUUUUCUACAUAUUAGCAGGAGGAGCAGUGUCUCCUGCAAACAUCCUGUCCCUCAUGUUACAGGCACAUGGUGCUGCCCAGGAAGCUGACUUCACUCAUUGGAUUUGUUUAUGUAUUAUGAGGAAAAUACAUCUACCGUGUUCUAUGACACUUGGUGUAUAUCCUCCGAGAAUAUCCUGACCCGGAAUGAAACACAUUUCUGUGUCUUGGUGUAUGAUUUGAUAAUUAAAAUGCAGAAAUUAUUGGACACUGUUCAGAGACAAUUGUUGAGACCAAGUGUAACAAUGAAAAUAGCAACAACAACUUUUUGGUGUUUUCAUGUUUAUGCAAUAAUAAACUAGAAAUAGUUUAGGAAACAUUUUUUGAUAAGACUUUGUGGACAGACCAGCAACUGUUGAAAUACAUACAAGUUUUUUGAUCUAGAGCAAUCCUAGUGACUGUGAGCAUACCUAUCAGUUAGAAUGGACAAUCAAUUUCAGCUUCACAUUUCAGGACAAGAAAUCUGUGCUGUAUCUGUAGGAUCGAGAGGGGCUGAGAAGGCAUCCACUGUCCAGCUAUCUCCAACAGCAAAAAGGAGAACACUUCUGUGAUUGCAUCAGCAGGAGCAAGCAUAAAGUAGCAUUUUAUUUCUGUAAAAGUGACAAGCUCUGUGGCCAUUAGCACUGUGGUUUCAGCUGUGACUGCCGGUGGAGGCUGUGCCCGGCUGCCCGUGCGGAACAAGGAGGUAAAGCCGCUGUGACCGGAGCCUUUGGGGCAGCGGGAGUAGCCGGGAAUGGCACAGCUGGGAGGGAAGGUGAGCUUUGCAGUGCCGGGGAUGGCUGGGCAUGCCUUGGAAGGAAGGAGCUGCCUGCCUGCCUUCAAGACAAACCGAUGCGCGGAUGGAAGAGGCGCCGGAGCGCUCCGCGGCUCUGCUGGGCUUGUCCAGGAGGUGGUAGUGGUGCUGCGCAAGACGUCUGCAUCGCCUGCCGUGUUUAACUGGCUGCUCGGGAAACGACUCGGCUACAGCUCCACAGUUCUGCCUCUUCUUUAUCGUCUGCUGUGUGAUUUUUAUGGCUAGAUAAUGGGAACAUAUAUAGAAAGUUGUUUUUUAGGGUAACGGGACUAUAUGCAGUCUUUUGAAACAUGCAUGUGCUUUGGUAAAUAAGUACACUUAAAUCCACAACGUUCUGCAUGCCUAACCAUUAAAUCCUGGAGCACUUAAGGAUCAGAAAUCUGAGUGCUGAGCAGCAAACAAUGUUGUGAAGAUAUUAUUAAGUCAAAAUGAUUUAAUGUCCUGCUUUUCAGCUCUGUAUGGGUCUGUUGUGCUCAGCACAGAGACCUAGCCACUAGCCAAAAAUUGGCUUCUGGCAAAAAAAUCAGUCUGUCCUCAUGACAGAAAUUGAAACCCAAGUCUGGGCCAGAAUGGAGACACUGGAUCUUUUUAGGCUUUUCUGGUAGGCUGCCUGCAUGGCAGGCAUUGCCCUGUCAGUUGGGGCAGUAUGUAAUCUUCAAAGUUAUUGGUAUAUUAAUUUGGAUUUAAAAAAUAUUGUAUUACUAUUUCAAUUUUUAGGGUUAUUUUCCUGAAGAUGCAGGGGGUUUUUGUUCAGUUGUCCUGUGCCUCUAAGCAAAACUUGUUUUAUUUUGGGGGAGGGGGUUAUCAUUUGUCAUUAUAAGCAGAACUGUCAACUUUGUCCAUAGCUGCAAUUAUGCAAUAUUUCCCAUUAUGAGGCAUUUUGUUGUUAUUGCCUCUGCAAAAUUUAUUUCUACUGCUUGAUUUUGGUGGGUUUUUUUUCCCUGCAGUGACUGUUUGAGGCUGAACUUAGCAGUUUGGCUCUUAUAAAACCAAGUCAUAGAAAGAAAUUUUGCUUUCCCAGGCGCUUGAUUAAAAUACAGACUUACACUGUUGAGAUGUUCAAGUGCCUCUUUGCUUUAAAGCGUGGGCUGAACAUUUCUCAGGGAAGUUUUAUGUCUUUUAAGUCUCCAUUUUUUGCCAUUUUACUUUCCUGAAAUUUGGCCUAAUGGUCAGAUUUUUCAAUGCUUGCUUACACAGAAGUUUGUGUGGAAGGGAAGUCAGGUAGUGUGUGCAUUCCUGAAGAUAAUUUGACUCUUUGCAGCCCAGGUAAUCAGUACAAAUUGUGGCGCUAAGCAAAGAAACUGAGAGUUCAAACAUUUUUUGUCCUCUGAAUUACUGCAGAAAUUAUUCCCAUUGGUGAAAAAGGCACAGUGACUAAAACUGAAGAGGGAAAGUGAAUUGGAACUCGAUGAAGAAUAAGAUCCGGGGUGAGGUAGCAUGGGGAUAAGAAUAAAAUAUCAGAAUUAGGAAGAAUGGACUGAAAAUUUGCAUCCUUUAUGAUGUUAUCCAAUUCAGAGGGAUUUGAGGCUCUUGGGUUUCCAUUCUCUUGCAACUGACAGCUUGUGGGAAUGCAGCUUACGUGGGAAAUGACAACCCACCAGUGUGAUCGUUCACUGGUACAAGCAGCAGGUCCAUUUGCUGGGUCUUGAUCCAGCCUACACAACACAGACUGUCAGAUGGGAUUUGCAGCUUUGUGUGAGCCUUUGGUUGGGAGCAAUAUUCCAAGUCUUUCUCUGAGCAGUCUGCCAUUUGCGUCAGGGAGGGUCAGCCCUGCAGGCCUGGGCACUGCAGGAGAAGGCAGCUGAACAUGCUGGUUCUUCAUCUUGGAGUGCCAGGAAUUAUCUUCCUGAGACUCCUGAUGUCCAGAAGGUGUUUGAGUGGCAGGAAUGCUGAGAAGAUAAGGGAAGUUUGGAACGUAGGGAGCAAGGGCAGAGGGUAGAGGAGCCUGGGAGGAUUAGGAAAAGAGCUGAAGCAGCAAGCCAACAGUGUGGGAGGUUUGGGAAGCAGGAACUUGAGGUUAAUAAGGGAACAGCGUGGGGGUAUUUUGGUUUGUGUGUGGGGCGGGACCUGGGAAGUAAGGAACAAGAUGGACUGCUGUGAUGGCUCAUGGGGCCGCUGCGGGGGAGAGGAGACCCCAGUCCUGCGAGGGCAGACAAACAGGAGGGUACUGUAUGCACAGGGAGAGGGCAGCUUGUAAUGAGCACAUGAAAGGAGAGGGAAGGGGAUAUGAGGUGCAGCUGACAGCAGUGAUGACUGUGUGUGUUUUCCCCAGGACAGGGCUGCUGCCAGCUGUGUGCCACGCACUGGCUGAGGUUUGUGGCAGCUGGUCAGCAGCCACCCACCACGAGCUGUGUGGCCUCUGGGUGCUGGUGAGCUGCUCUGCUGUGGCCCACAGCUGCAGCUCCAUGCCAGCAGUCCAACCCCAUGGAGCUGCACAGGCCUGAUCUGAGCACUGUUCAGAACACAGGGUUUACAGUAACCAAGAGUGUGCAAUUAAAAAUAUAAAAAGCAAAGUGAGCUGAAAGAAGAGGAAGAGGGCCUUGCAAGAAGGCCACUGAAUAGCCCUGUAAAGAACUGGGUUUAUUCUCCUGUGUAGCAGUAUCUACGUAUUCUGAGUGAUGUAGAUCUGUGUAUGGAAUAAAAGUUCAGAGUGUAAUUUAGAGCUGAUUGCCCCUUGGGACUUGUAGUUGAGAACUGACCACAAAAGCUCUGAUUCAUCUGGAGGUAACUUUGCUACCGCAGGGACAUGGUUAGAUUGCUUUUAGGAACUGUCAUACAUUCCUAGGUUUUGAAAGUUCAUAGCAUCUUGGCUUGGAAGAGCUGCCAUUCCUGUUCAGUGAUACUCAGGCAAUAUGAAUAGUUUUGGGGGCAGUCAAAAAUAGGAAGAUAUUUGAAACAGUGUUACUUAUUUCUAAAUAGGAUUUGAUUAUUCUGCCUCCUCUGAGGUUAACAUCAAAAUUUUAAUUAGUCAUGUGGACACCUUUGGACCUCUCUACCUCUUGUUUAUUUGCCCUCCUUUAGAACAAGGGGUGAUACAGAUACCUUAUGUUGUAGAAAUGAACAAUUUAAAAAUGCUGCUACAUAGUACUGAUGAAAUCCAGUGAGAAAAUGAAGAAUUCCCUUUAUAGAAUUCAAGGAGUCCAUGGCAAAUAGUGAGAUCUAUUGAUGCAGAAAAAGAUUGUGAUUAGCUGGCAUCAGAGCAGUGUCAAGGACUAUUGUGGUCUGGCUUUGUCGUGCCACAUUGGACUUCCAUCCUGUGAACCUGGAAGUUGCCAUCAGUUCACAUUUUUGUUUCUGAACUAUGAUAAGUUUACUUUUGCUAACUGUAGUGUACAUGAACUUUUAAAAAGGUUAGCUAUGCCAUAGUAGCUGUAGAAUUCACAUGCACCGAUGUGAUAUAAACAACAUGUACAAUUUACAUAAAAUGUAAAAUGUGUGCAUCACUGUUCCAAACUUUUCCGUCCUUCAUUCCACUGACAGACUUUCAGACACAUUUUCCUGAAGUGAGAGAAUUUCUGGAGUGUGCACGUAGUGAUGAGAGAUGGCAUUCACCCAUCCUAUUGCAUGAACAAACUUGUUAAACAUUCCUUCUACACCAUGUUAGUCAGUACUUGAGCAGCAAGACUGCUUUCAUGUGGUUUAGCAUCCUGUUCCUGGUAAUCAGAGUUUUUGGUAAUCAGAGAGUGUUGUCUUACAUCCUACAGCUGAUCCAACAUUUAGAGAAACUGGAAAGCCUUCUAAAUAUGUUUCCUUUGAAAAUGAAACUCAAAUUUCUGUCUCUUACAGAGAUUGUCUUAUAUGUCAUUACAGCCAUUUACAAAUGAAGUCAGAUUGGAUCCUUGGCCAGCACAUGGCAUUUUGUAGAGGCUGCUGAUAAAAGAAGAGUGUAUCAGAUGGGCAUUUAGAACUAUUUUUAUUGAUGUUCCCACUUACAUGUCAUUUGAAAGAAAAAGUAGUGGAGCUACUGGUGGAUUUUUCUUUAAAUGCUAAACUUAUUAAAAACAUAUUGUGGUAUCCACUUAAAGGGAAACCAAGAUAACAGGUUGCCAAGGGUAUAGUAAGAUAUAUGCAAUUUAGAGAUAUAACAAGCAUUCUUGUUCACACAGAUAUGUCAACACUAUGUUUAGGCUCUGGGAUAAUUUUUACUCAUUGUACAGUGGCUAAAAAUCUGGGGGUAGGGUUUGGUUGGAUUUUUUUUUUUUAAUUUUUUAUUUCAAGUUUCAUCUUGAACUGCCUAAGUUGCACUGCUGUCUACAUCUUUUAGUUAUGAAGAGGAAAAGGUACAGUUAAUAUGUUGUGCUGUUUCAUACACUGGAAUGAGGAUUUCCAUGAGGAUUUUGAUUGCUGAUGCUGUGCUUCCUAUGUGAGAAAGUUUCAGUUAUUCGGUGUAGUUAUCAAUCUGAAGUCUUUGCAAAGUUUUAGAUCUGCAGGAACACUUAGCGCUUAGCUUAGUACUUUGUUGACCCAGGGAUAAAUGAUGGAUUCUGAUUGGUCCCCUGCAAUUAUGGGGAUGUUUUUCCUCAUCUUGGUCAAUCCUAUUCACAUAAUUUGGUGAGAGGGUGCAAUAUGCUGUUCAAUGGAAUUUGAGCCUGUACUGUUAUAGGCAGAGAGAGCUUAAACAAAAAAGCAAACAAUGUCCAUGGGAACAAGGUGACUUUUUUGUCAGUGACCAUUAUAAAGGGUAUGACUUGAUAUUAUUACACUAUAUUUUGAAUGAGGCAACAUGCCUUUAAUAUGAAUUAUUGAGAUGCAUAUGCUUUGCUCUGAGAUUUUAGUUUCAUACACAGUCAGGAAUGUGCUGAACUGUUUCAGGAGAGGUGCAGGCAAGACCAUGUGUAGACAAAUAACUGUUCUUCCUGUACUUGGAGGGAGAAUUUGAUCUGUAGCUUUUUACUUGAGUAUGAGAAGUCACAGCAUUUUACAGCAUACAUUAGGAUGGACAGCUAACCAGCUAAAGUGAAACAGAAAACUUCUUAGUUUGAGGGCUUUGUGGGUUUUCAGGUUUGGGGGGUUUUUAAAGCAUUGGUUUCAAAAUUGCCAAGGGAUUUCCCAGUCAGGCAUAUAAACAUGAAAACCUAAAUAACUGCUGAAAGGAGUGCUGAUCCAUAGAUUUUAUCUAGAGAGAGAUGACUUGUGUAUCUAACUUUUUUCCCCUUUUCUAUCUUUCCUCCCACACCUGAUGAAACUAUUUAGAUUUGAAAUGUUGGAAGGCCACAUACCUGAAGCAGCAGUGGGCUUGUUUAAACACCAUUUUCCGGUAUUAGUCUUAUAGAUCCAGAGAUGACUAAUAAGGAAGUUUCUUCAUUCAGUAUUCAUGGAUGACCAGUUUUUGCUAGCAUGAGGAACAAAGCUGGUAUGAGAAGGUCAUGUUGCCCACGGAGCAAUUCAAAUCUCCAGAGUGAGUCAUGUAACUGGUAUCUUAAGACACAGAGAGAAAACAUGGUGCAAAACUCAAACAGGGCUUUUUUUCUUCCACCUUUUUAAUUUUUUGAGAUAUUUCCUGGGAGACUUCUUUCACUAGCACUCCUGGUGUCAGUAUUCCUAGAUUUAGGGCAUUUAUUUGGGGUCUCCACCUCCACUUUUACUGUAAUACAAUGAAGACUGUAGCUGCCUGGUAAAUCAGAAUGGUGAUCAUAGGAAAUACUAUUGGUAUAAAUCUAGAUGAGUUUUCAUUGUACAUUUCUCCUUUUUUAGUUACUUUGGUGAUUUUAAUAUACAUUGCAGCAGUGGAGAAGGUAGAGGUGUUUCCUUUGGCAGGCACAACACAGCACAAUUACCAUAUCAAAUUAUUGCAUAUCCUAAAAUCAUAGUGCUAAUGUUAGUGGUCUAAAGGCGGUAAAUGCACCCCUAGAUGUGAUGUACCUCAGCAGGUCUGUUCUGCAUCAGAGACUCCUCUACAGCAGAGUUGCUGCGUACAUGGACCACAGUUUGCUCCACAUUCUCUCCCAGGAUCACUGCUGAAGUCAGAGGGGCAGUAUACUUGAAGUUGGCAAAGCUUUUAGUGGCAUCUUUAAUUAAGUCAGUGGAUCUCUCCUAAUUCCAUUUCCUGCUGCACUAAAAACUCCCUACCAGUAGAUGAUGAUGCUUUUCAAACCGUGAAACCAUAGUAAAAGUUUAAUCUGGAUAAUAUGUAAAAUAACAGAAUCAAAGUUCAAUAAAAUCUAGGCUUGGUUUCAGACUAAUGUAAAACAAGGCAAAAUUAGGUUGUGAUAUAAUUUUAAGGCUAAUCUUCAGGGAGAUCUUGUCAGGAACUGUGGUGCAAAUUGAUUGAAGUAUUAGAUCAGCUAUGUUAAUACUUUUUUUUUUUUUUUUCAGUGAACCACUUGGGAAAUAAUCUUCCUUCUCUUUGUGGCAUCUGUAUAGAUCUGAGCAGGGAAACAUUAUUGGUUUUGAAACUUUAAAUCACUGUGGACCAGUCCUGUCAUCAGUGGUAUUAAUAAUACAGGUAAUUUUAGUACAGUGUUUGGUAGAUAAUGAUUCACUUCUUUUUCAGAACUUGUCAAGCUUUCAGAUAAUAUAUUUGCAUUUACAGGGUAUUAAAGACCUCUCUGUCAAGGCCCAAAGAAGCUUCCACAAAAAUGUAUUGAUUUGAGAAAUUUUUGAAAAGUUCCAAUUUGUUUAUUGGAGAAAUUGUUGAAAGCAAGGAGGAAAAUUUUGUCGUAAGUAGAUGUCAGUCUCCUUAGCACAGAAACAGGAAGAGAGGAAGGAGAAUACGGAAUAAUAGAAGGAAGGAAACUAGGCAUGGUUUAACCUACAGGUGAAAGUUAACAAUUUGUGUUCUGCUGCAGAAAGAAAUGCAAAAUUGUGCACAUACCAAAUGGACAUGCUAAACUAGAUAAAAUGUAUAUUCACCUCAAAAGAAACAGAACUUUCUCAUGGAGCUGUUUAUUUUCAUUAGACAAAUUGAUCUCUAUAUUUGUCUUCGAAGCUAUAAACUAUGCAAGCCAGCAUGGAGCAGCUUCACUGUGGUUUGCUUUUGUGUAAAAAUAUAUUGUAAGUUUAUUUAGGUACUAAUUCUGUAAUAACAUAGUCUUUAAGUGCUUUACUUUACAAUUCUCCUUUUUUCCAAUGUUUUUUCAUUAAGCUACACUUUUACUUGAAGAAACUUCAAGUGUGUCUGUAGUUUACUUGGCUGGGGACAAGUCUCUGAGAUGCAGCAAGAUGUAGACAUCCCCUGGGCACAAUGUGAACAGCCUGUUUGGAAAACAGCAUCAUUCACACAGGUAGCAUGAGGAUGUGGGCACCAGUGCAAGGGCUCUCCAUGUCUAAAUUCAACAUAUGUGUAAAAACUGGAGGUGAGGUGCAGAAACACAACUGUCUUAGGGUUCAAAGGCUGGUUACGCUCUUUAGCCUUUUAGGAAUCCUGCAUUUCUAGUUUUAUUGAGUUGCUCAAGUGGGCAGGUUUGAUCUUCCUUUUGCUUCAUCUGAGUCUCUCAAAAUAGAGGACGUGCAGCCAACUUAUGCAUGCGCCCAUGUUCAGACUCUGCUCACGCUUGUGAGGAAAGGUAACAGAGACACCCUGUAUUUGUUUGGUGAUCCAAUGAAGGCAGUUAUGGAAGAGCCGGGCUUUGCAGGCCAGAUCCUUCAGGCAGAGGAUUUUUUGGGAUUACAUGGAGAGGGUGACUUGGAAUCUGGAUGCCUGAGAUAUUGGUAGGGGUUUUAUUCUGCCAGGGAUUUGCAAUUAAAUCCUGGGCUAAGUCCUUGCCUCUUGUCCUUGCUCCCCAGGCGCAGAGUGGGAGCACAAUGGGUACAAGCUCACAGGCACAGAAGCACAGCCAGUGGCUCAGGCUUCUCUGCUGGAGCAUGUAAUGAAAGGAGUGUGCUGGGUCGCUCAGCUAAGUCAUUUAGUUUACCCAUUGUCGCCUAAAAUAGCGUCAAGUGAGUGUGACGCAAGCUCUGCUCUGUCGAGGCCCACAGAACAUAUGUUGAUGUACGGGUUGGGAGCCCUCCGUUCCUGUUCCCGCCCGGCCUGCAGACAUCGCCUUCCCCUGGGCCUGCUGGCACUCUGGCCCUCUCUUGGAGGGUGUGGUGACGUGGAGGCAAUGACAGAGCCAAGCACACAUCUUCAGAGAGCUGCUGCUCACAGGAGAAAUUAAUAUACAUCAGGUAAAUCUGCGGCUGUAAAUGAAACCUUGGGACACUUCCUCAGCCGUGACUAAUCCUGUGCGCACUGUGACUCAGCUGGUGAAGCAUAUAUCAGGAGAGCUCCCAGAGCACGCAGCUAUAAGCCUAUAAAUAAAAAUAUCUUGUUUUCUUGUACCGAACAGAACCAUUGAACCUAAUUGCGUCGCCUGUUUCUUACUCCUUCAAAAAUAAGCCACCCAAAUGUUUAUAGCCAUGCAAGAGAGGAAACAUCAUAGAUAGUAAACACACUGGCUCAAAUUCA